GAUGAAGAACGCAGUGAAAUGCGAUAAGUAGUGUGAAUUGCAGAAUCCCGUGAACCAUCGAGUCUUUGAACGCAAGUUGCGCCCGAAGCCAUUAGGCCGAGGGCACGCCUGCCUGGGUGUCACACACCGUUACCCUCGCGCCAACGUCCAUCGUUGGCCGCGGCGCGGGGCGUGCGCUGACCUCCCGCGAGCGGGGUCUCGUGGUUGGUUGAAAAUCGAGUUCGCGGUCGAGGGUGCCGUGAUGAAAUGGUGGAUGGGCGACGCCCGAGGCCAAUCACGCGCGACUCUGUCCGGCUCGGACUCCUGGACCCCUUCGGCGUCUCCGGACGCUCUUUGGCGAGACCUCAGGUCAGGCGGGGCUACCCGCUGAGUUUAAGCAUAUCAAUAGCGGAGGA
rnacentral:misc_RNA from 1 species